rnacentral:sRNA from 1 species
ACCCCUAAAACUGAAAACCCUAAACCCUAAACCCUAAACCCUAAAUCAUAAACCCUAAACCCUAAACUCUUAACCCUAAACCCUUAAACCUAAACACUAAACCCUAAACCAUAUACCCCAAACUUUAAAACCUAAAUCCUACUUUAGCUUCCGGAAUCCGGUUGCGGUUCUAGUUCUUAUACUCAUUAAUACACAA